GCCGUUAUUGUAUAGUGGUUAGUACUCUACGUUGUGGCCGCAGCAACCCCGGUUCAAAUUUGGGUCAUUGCA
rnacentral:tRNA from 1 species